UAAAAAUGCCUUCUUUCUUCUGUGGCAUUUAUUUCUGAUUGGUUCAUUUAAUUUUUAAUUUAUUUUUUUUUUCUUGGAGGAGGUUGUACAUGUUUUAGAUUUGAGGAGCUCUGUCUUUGUGUUGCUUUAAUUUUCACUGUUUUGUGUGUGUGUGUGUGUGUGUGUGGUCUCGGGGUGGUUUGGUUGGUUUUUUGUUGUUUCUUUUUUCUGUUUUGUUUGUAUCAGGGAAGAAAACUUCUGCAAAUAGGGAGGUGAACAGCUUUUUGAAGUACCUAGCUCUUACUUGGAGAAAGGGGAAUUCCAUGGGUUUUCAAAUACGUAUCAAAUUAAACAAAGCUACUGCAGAUUACAGCCACCCAGCUCCUUCAUAUACCUCAACAUCUGUGCAUGGAGUCCUUUAAAAUCCAAAGCAUACUACUUUUCUUGGUCAGAAUAUUUUCAUCUCUGCUACUCCAAGCUCCACCUGUCUGCUAUCCAAUAAAUUUCCCUGCUCUUUUUGCAGGAAAUGGGAAAUGAUUGCAGAAUUACACAACCAAUCAUAGGAGUUGGAAGAGACCUCUGUAGAUCAUUGAAUCCACCCUCCCCCCUCUGCUAAAGCAGGUUUCCAACCUCAGGUCACACAGAUUUCUGCUGGACUGACAGGUGGAGAUUGCACACAAAUCCCCGGUGAUGUGGUCUGUCCAGGCUAAGUCUGGGUCUGGAGGUUGCCAGUUUUAAGAAUGAGCUUGCUACAGACAAAGACUCUGUUCAGAUGAAGGUCUGAGCAGGAACUGGAGGUUUCCUUCACCACAUGCAAGAUGCUGCUCAGAAGACAAGGCCUGCAUCCUGUUCAGGAGAACACCUCACUGCCUUCCACUGCAGCAAAAAUUAAAGGAAGAAAAGUCCCUUUAUUACAUCCCCAUCACCUGCUGAAUCAUCAGUCGAUAUCCUGCCUGUGUGUGGUCAUUCUAGAUUGGUCAUUCUUUCAAGAAGGAUCUUUAAAUCUAUUGCAAACUCAGCAAUGUAGAUUUUGGCACUCAUCCUCCAGGCUCUCCCAUGGGUGGUUAUCACAGAACAUCAGACCAUCUUUUGAAGGAAGAUAAAUAGCCAAGUAUUAACCUUGGGGUUCUUUUGAAAAUCAACUAGUUUUCUUUAAAAUCUUUCUCCAAGACAUCCAGAAGCUGUGGACCCUGUCUUUGCAAACAGGGAUCUCUUCCAUGGUCAUGUGGGGGAUGGCAAAGCAGCCAGAAGACCAAAAGGGCCCUUACAGAAGCCAUUUCCCCCUUCAUCGCAGCAGAUCAGUUCAAAUCACAGUCAGCACUCAAAAGGGGAGUUAAAGUGAGAAGAGAAACACGUCCUCUUAGUGCCCACCAUUGCAAAGCUCUGCUGCAUUUUGUGUAAGCCAAAGCUGGUGUGACUUCAAAGUCUGAAGACUGUCCUGAGGUGUAAUGCAUUUAUCAGGUGUUCUGUUGGAUAAGUCCCUUCUCUCUCAACUCUUCAGGAGUUUUCUUGGCACCAGAUAAUAGUGGAACAAACCACAUCUUGUCUAUACACGUUCAGUUAAGAUCAACUGAAUUAACUUCUCUUAAUUAAGAUAGUUCCUACUCUGCCAGCUGCCUCUGGAUUUUUACAUCCUGCAAACCCCAACUGCAAUGCAUAGUGCAGUUCCAAGUAUAUAAAAAAAGUUGAAGUUUGCUACUGAAAAAAUACUGUAGGAAACCUCUGUGGAAAUAAGUCUUGUAUUUUUCUAGAACUGCUUCUCCAAGAUGACUGCUGGUAAAUUUUAUGGGAAAUAUUUGUCUUUGUUUUCAGCUUCUUUAAAAGGAAAGUUUUAGUUGUUUUCACGUCCUUUCAUCCUUAGGUAAUCUUAUGGUAAGUAAAACAGCAAAGUUCAGGCUCAGUUGGAGACCACUCCAGAGAAGCACUUAGCUGUGUGAAAUGUCCUACUGACUUCCAGAGGGACUGCUCAAACGCUUCAACUUGUGCUUAAGUGCUUUGCAGCAGGAGAGCUCCUGAUCUCUCCGGAAAUGUGACCUCAGGGAUGUGUCUUGGAUGGGUGAUAAUUUUUCUCCUGAAGAGGCAGAACACAGAGCAGAGCAUCAUCUCAGGUGGUUGUUGGCAUGCAGCUCUGAGAGGUGACUGCUGUGAGUGACACCAGAGGUGAUUGCGCCCCACUGGAGACUGCAGAAGGGAGGGGAGAGCAGCAACUCAGCUGCUCUGCUUCAAAGUCCAGGAUAUCUUUACAAAGAAGAAGAUUGAGAUGACAGACCACAUCGCAAGGUACAGCUGGUGAGGUCUCCUUCUCUGACCCUCCUUCACAAAAGGGCAGGGAGCACCAAAUCUGUGCAAAGCACAUAUCUCUGCAGCUGUUUGCAGGGGUGUCAAAGUCCUCCGGCAGACAUGGUUGUCACACUGUGAGCUGCAAAGCAGUGGUCAGAGGUUGCUGCACACAACUGCCUGGGAUCUCUCAGACUCAGGAACGUUGGUGUGGUUUUGUUAUAUAACCACAGCUUUUUUAUGCAACUGUUCCUCCAGCGCUGCCCUGCUUUAUCCGAUUAUUAUGGAGGAUGACAAACCACUGUUAUUUUUAACAGCUGGAUCAAGGCUCAAUGAUCUUAAAAGGAUAUUCAGAAGCAGCUGCUUCCAUGAGGCUAUCCAGACAGUGGUGACUGCUGCGAAACAUGUUUGCCUCUUUUUGGAAACUCUGAACCCAUCACUGAUGUUGCCUUGCACUUUCAAAUGACAGACUGUGAUCUUUUUUUCCUCUAUAUGUGGUAAGCUGCCUGUUGACAUUCACCCAGAAACACAACAACAGCUUUCCAUGAGGUAUCUUUCUAUAGUAUCAACAAAAAUUUUAAAAGUAAUAAUAAUCUAGUGCAUUUGGAAGGGACUGUCACAGUCUGUAGCCUGAUUUUUGUAUGGGGACAUCUAUUCCCAAGCACCUGUUGAUUAAAGUA